GAUGAACGCUAGCUACGGGCUUAACACAUGCAAGUCGCGGGGCAUCAUGAAUUUAGCUUGCUAAGUUUGAUGGCGACCGGCGCACGGGUGAGUAAACGCGUAUCCAACCUUCCUCUCUCCACGGAAUAGCCCGUCGAAAGGCGGAUUAAUACCGUAUGAGGUCACCAGAUGGCAUCAGAAAGUGACGAAAGGUUUGGCGGAGAGAGAUGGGGAUGCGUCCGAUUAGCUUGUUGGCGGGGUAACGGCCCACCAAGGCGACGAUCGGUAGGGGUUCUGAGAGGAAGGUCCCCCACAUUGGAACUGAGACA
rnacentral:rRNA from 1 species